rnacentral:rRNA from 1 species
CCCUUAGAUGUUCUGGGCCGCACACGCGCUACACUGAAGGAGGCAGCGUGUACUCCUGGAUCGAAAGAUUUGGGUAACCCGCGAAUCUCCUUCGUGCUAGGGAUUGAGGUUUGCAAUUAUCCUUCAUGAACGAGGAAUUCCCAGUAAGUGCAAGUCAUAAGCUUGCGCUGACUACGUCCCUGCCCUUUGUACACACCGCCCGUCGCUACUACCGAGUGAAUGAUUUAGUGAGGACUUCGGACUGGGACCGAUGCGGCUUUCGGGCUGCGUCGGUAUUCUGGAAAGAUGUCCAAACUGUAUCAUUUAGAGGAAGUAAAANUCGUANCA